GAGUUUGAUCCUGGCUCAGGACGAACGCUGGAGGCGGGCCUAAUACAUGCAAGUGGAACGCACGAGGUACACCGUAUUUAACUACACCGUACUUUGUGAGUCGCGAACGGGUGAGUAACGCGUAGGUAACCUACCUUUUAGCGGGGGAUAACUAUUGGAAACGAUAGCUAAUACCGCAUAAGAUAUCUUACUGCAUGGUAAGAUAUUAAAAGAUGCAAUUGCAUCACUAAGAGAUGGACCUGCGUUGUAUUAGCUAGUAGGUGAGGUAACGGCUCACCUAGGCAACGAUACAUAGCCGACCUGAGAGGGUGAUCGGCCACGCUGGGACUGAGACACGGCCCAGACUCCUACGGGAGGCAGCAGUAGGGAAUCUUCGGCAAUGGGGGGAACCCUGACCGAGCAACGCCGCGUGAGUGAAGAAGGUUUUCGGAUCGUAAAGCUCUGUUGUAAGAGAAGAACGAGUGUGAGAGUGGAAAGUUCACACUGUGACGGUAACUUACCAGAAAGGGACGGCUAACUACGUGCCAGCAGCCGCGGUAAUACGUAGGUCCCGAGCGUUGUCCGGAUUUAUUGGGCGUAAAGCGAGCGCAGGCGGUUAGAUAAGUCUGAAGUUAAAGGCUGUGGCUUAACCAUAGUACGCUUUGGAAACUGUUUAACUUGAGUGCAGAAGGGGAGAGUGGAAUUCCAUGUGUAGCGGUGAAAUGCGUAUAUAUAUGGAGGAACACCGGUGG
rnacentral:rRNA from 1 species